GGGCUUGUGGUCUAGUGGUAUGAUUCUCCCUUAGCAUGGGAGAGGUCCGGGGUUCAAUUCCCCGCGAGUCCA